rnacentral:lncRNA from 1 species
GGGUGAUGUUGCCGUGGGAUUGGCUCCCUGCGUUGCCAUAGUAACCCUUAGCCCCGCCCCCAGGGAUGCUGUUCCCGUGGGAUUGGCUCAAUGUGUUGACAUGGUAACCCUUAGCCCCGCCCACAGGGAUGCUGUUCCCGUGGGAUUGGCUCAAUGCGUUGCCGUGGUAAACCUUAGCCCCGCCCACAGGGAUGCUGUUUUCAUGUUGAUUGGCUCCAUCUGUUGCCAUGGUAACCCUUAGCCCCGCCCACAGGGAUGCUGUUCCUGUGGGAUUGGCUUAAUGUGUUGCCAUGGUAACCCUUAGCCCCGCCCCCAGGGAUGCUGUUCCCGUGGGAUUGGCUCCAUGCGUUGCCGUGGUAAACCUUAGCCCCGCCCACAGGGAUGCUGUUUGCAUGUUGAUUGGCUCAAUCUGUUGCCAUGGUAACCCUUAGCUCUGCCCACAGGGAUGCUGUUCCCGUGGGAUUGGCUUAAUGUGUUGCCAUGGUAACCCUUAGCCCCGCCCACAGGGAUGCUGUUUGCAUGUUGAUUGGCUCCAUCUGUUGCCAUGGAACUCAGUGGCCAUAGGGCUUGGCUCCGCCCACCCCACUGUCGCCAUGGUAACGCCAUGCCCCGCCCACCGGGAUGCUCCGCCCACUGCCUUGUCACACCUUUGCCUCGUUUGCAUGCCAAGCUCCGCCCCCUUCCGGUCAUGUGAUGGAAUCGAUGGACCAAUAAAAUCUCAGUGUUGGUAACAACUGGGUCCGGGUUUAAUUAAGCAGUUCUUCAUUAACGAAGCAGUUAAUUAAUGCAGAAUGGGAGCCCUUCCUUGGUUCCCAGCUUAGUCUCCUUAAUGAACUAUUUAUUAAUUAAUCUUCUUGCUAGCGAUGUGAGGCUGUAAUGAUCGCAUUUAUUAAUUAAUCCUGUCAUUAAGCCCAGGGAAAUUGGGAAGUACUGGAAAAUGUGGGGAUUUGGGGUCAGUGUGAAGAAUUUGAGCUGAAAUUGGGGGUCACCGCUCCCAUCUCAGCCACAGACCCCGCCCCUCAGUAACUGGUGGACCAAUCAGCAGCUUGCUCAGCCCGUUUAUUAAUUAAUCCAUUUGUUAAAUACGGUGGUCAAAUUUGGAGAGAGCCGUGGCCCCAUUAAGCACCAGAGAGCCCCCCCAUCUCUUAGGCUCCGCCCCUUCACUCUUAAGACCCGCUCCCUCUUUUAAGCCCCGCCCCCUCCUUCAAUCCCCGCCCACUCAGUU